AUCCAGCUGACGAGUCCCAAGUGAGACGAAACACAUUUUUUGGAU
rnacentral:hammerhead_ribozyme from 1 species